UUCCCUUGGUUCUCAGCCUUUGUCCUUCAUCUCCCAGAGAGAGGCCAUGGGACAAGAAUAAAUUUGUGAACCAGGCUGAAAACUAGGCCCCAGCGACGAGGCCUCGCCCGAGCGUCGGACAGGCUCACGCAGCCCCCGAGCACCCGGCGCUACCGGUCGGCCUCUUGGCCCCGCCCCUCGCCGCGCUGCCGACCAAUCCUGGGCUCCGCUCCCCGCGCGUCACAGAGGCGCCGCUGGGGGGCUUCCCGCAGGCGGGCGCUCGGCGCGGUGUUGCCAUGGGGACUGCAAACAGCCGGGGCCGGGCGGAGAGAGGAGGACUUUCCCUAGAGGAAGCGGCCUCACCUCGGGAGACGCGCACAGGUACCCAAGGAGCAGAGCCCAGGCCUGUCACUGUCUGUCUAUUCAUGGAGUUUGUAAGUGAGCAUGAAGGCCCAUUGACUGAAGAUGUGUGACUUUGUUCCCCUUGGACACUGAGGGCAAUGCAGUACCAAUGCACAACGCAAUGACACACAAGUCUCCAUGGAUUCCUGAAACACAGAAGCUCACCCAGAGAGUCUGCUGUGCACUGCGGGAUGGGCACCAUCCAUCCUGUCAAAAGGAACUAGGAUAUGAAGAAUUCAGAGUUUAUGACCAUGUUCCUGCUGGACUCUUGAAAAAGCACUUUACUCGUCAUCCCAUUUGGCCCUCAGGACUGUGCUGUGAGGGAGAUGGGGUCCCCAAGGGUGACAAGUUACCAUACCUCCUCCUCCACAAUAAGGACAGUGUCAGGAGAGCCACACUAAAGAGCUCCUGGUGCUUCACCUCAGUCAGAACCUACAACCACCAAUUUUUGAAGUGA
rnacentral:lncRNA from 1 species